AUCCUAUCCUAAAAUCAUUAACUACUUUUAAAAGUACUGUGCAAAAACAAUUGGACGAGAUAAUUGGAUGUGCAGCAGCUUCCUUUUUGGCCCUUUUUCUUCAACUUUUAUUUUCUGUACUUUGUGUUUAAUGUGGAUGAGAUAAUUGUAGCCAUGUGAGUUGAAGUUGAAGACUCUUGAAAUUUUGUAUAAUUUGUUUUUCUGCUUUUUUAGGAUCCAGCCAUUGCUUUCACCUUUCUUUCUUCCUCCUUGACUAACUCAUUUUUGUGUUUUGUUUUUCCUUUUUUAUUUUUUAUUUUCUGGUAGUGAGAAAUUAUGGUUUAUUAAGGCCUCGUGGAUAGCAUAGGAGGAUCAUGGUCCAGCUUCCAAGCUUGCACCUUUGGCCCCUUUCAAGUUUCAACCAAAUUCCCCUAAAUCCCAAAGGAACCUCUUUUGACAUUUCUUUCUCAGGCCCAGUUUUUUACUUGCGUUUCUAUCACACCCUUUACCCUUUCUAUGCUUCCAAGUCUUGAACCAUCCACCUGUUUUAUCAUUAUUUCCAGAAGGACCCAAAAUUUAGGGUUUUCAUCACACCCCGCACCUGUCUUCUGGCAAGCUCGUUGUUCUCUAUCCUCACAGCUAAAAAUAAGAACAUCACUUCAGGUUUUAGCUUUGCAACGGGAGAGUAACUCAAUAGAUGUUAGACAACAGAGAACUGCAUUUCCUCCGAAUUUUGUACACUCACUUGACGGGUUCACACAUGAUGAUGAUGAUAGCUCUUGCCUGCAGGGACGCUGGCCUACGUUUUGUAGAUAUUGGAACCUACACCCUGCUGAAGUGCUCUGUACUUAGAGGAUUAGAGGGCAUAGAUUCAUCAAAACAAAGUCUCUUUUGAAGGGUGCAUGAUUCCUUCUGGACUCAUGCAUGUGAUGUGGACCAAAUGAACAAGAUACUUCGGCAAAAAUUUGGCCGAUACUUGAAAAUGUUGGGUGGAAUGACUUGUAUUUGACACAAUGAUUUCUCAAGGCUACUUAAGUUCGUUUUGAUGUCUCCUUACAAUGUUUCAAGAUGAAGUUUAAGAACUUACGAAUGCGUCUUCAUUGUAGAAAACUUUUGCAUUGAAAGACUGUAUUCAGCUUCUCCCUAAUUUUUACUUUAUGAUGUAAUGAAAUGGUCAAACUGCUUCUAAUUGUUUGAGAACUUGCAUUUAGAAAGUUGCUUUACACAUAUUUUAUAUGUAGACCUGAGUUAAACUAUUUGUUUAUUUCCAUUGAUAUCUUGAUAGCUAAGCCUCUUCCCCGUUGCUUGAAAGUUUCCAAGCAUCAUAUCCAGCAUUGACUUUUCCUCCACUCCCAGAAAGAGGCGACUUUGACUUGCAAUAGGUUCUGGAAUCUCCAUACUAUUUCGACUGAAUUUCCAGUCAUGAGCAGCAAUGAUAACAAUAUGCGGAAAGCUUUGUCACUUGUAUCAUAUGCACCCCCAAAUUGACCAAGAAGCUUUGUUAAGAGUUCAUUUGGAUAGGGGCAGCAAGUUGAACUGGAAACAGAAGCCUAAAAGGUUCCUUUUGUGAACAGUGAAAGGACCAAUUUGAUUCCCAUGGUCAGCAAGUCUGUGAUUCUGAUAGGGUGGUGAUCAUCUUCAGUGUUAAUGAUCUGGCUCUAUUUAGAAGCGACCCAUGUACAGUAAAGGAGACGCUUCUAUUGAAUUUCAAAGUGUUUAGAAGUUCUCUAAUGUGGAACAAUUUUUUUGGAGGCAAGAGAGGCAGACAGAAGGCCGCAAGGCCGUUGGAGCUAAUUUUGUGGAGUUCAUCUAAAUGGUGCAAAAAUCAUGUAUUGUUUCUUUUCUAAUAUAUUUAAUUUUUUAAA